GGAGAGAUAGCUCAAUGGUAGAGCAAGAAAAUAAAGAGUCUAGACAUAGGCUCUUCCAGCAAUUUAACAGGGAUAAAAAGACGUAGGUUCGAUUCCUACUCUCUCCA
rnacentral:tRNA from 1 species